rnacentral:rRNA from 1 species
GCGUAACACGUGGGUAAUCUGCCCUGAAGCCCGGAAUAACCUGCCGAAAGGCAAGCUAAUACCGGAUAAGCCUACGGUCCCCUCGGGGACUGAAGGAAAAGGUGGCCUCUGCAUGCAAGCUAUCACUUCAGGAUGAGCCCGCGGCCCAUCAGCUCGUUGGCGGGGUAACGGCCCACCAAGGCAACGACGGGUAGCUGGUCUGAGAGGACGAUCAGCCACACUGGAACUGAGACACGGUCCAGACUCCUACGGGAGGCAGCAGUGGGGAAUUUUGCGCGAUGGGCGAAAGCCUGACGCAGCAACGCCGCGUGUGUGAUGAAGGUCUUCGGAUUGUAAAGCACUUUCGACCGGGACGAAAACCCGCUGGCCAAUAUCCAGCGGCUUGACGGUACCGGGAGAAGAAGCACCGGCUAACUCUGUGCCAGCAGCCGCGGUAAUACAGAGGGUGCAAGCGUUGCUCGGAAUUAUUGGGCGUAAAGCGCGUGUAGGCGGCUUUGCAAGUCGGGUGUGAAAGCCCUCAGCUCAACUGAGGAAGUGCGCCCGAAACUGCAGAGCUUGAGUACCGGAGAGGAUGGCGGAAUUCCCCAAGUAGAGGUGAAAUUCGUAGAUAUGGGGAGGAACACCGGUGGCGAAGGCGGCCAUCUGGACGGAUACUGACGCUGAGACGCGAAAGCGUGGGGAGCAAACAGGAUUAGAUACCCUGGUAGUCCACGCCGUAAACGAUGAGAACUAGGUGUCGUGGGUGUUGACCCCCGCGGUGCCGUAGCCAACGCAUUAAGUUCUCCGCCUGGGAAGUACGGCCGC